GGCCCGGUGGUGUACUGGUAACAUGCCUGCUUUACUUGUGAUGUUGUUUAGGAAGUUUCGGCAGGAGAUCCUUGUUCGAGUCAAGGUCAGGCCG